GGCGAGGGGCUGAGGCUCGACCGUGGCUGUCGCCCGAGGGCGACCGAGAGUCAAGCUCGCUGGUGGGGGCGUGUGAGGGCGGCUUUGCCUCCGCCUCUGCUCACUUCCUUUCUCAGGAAUGGUGGGCGCCGUCCCCACCCCUCACUGGCAGUGACGGUGGACAACAAAGGGGCUCGGGAUGGCGGCCAGACAAAGAGUUGCAGCGCCGGGGGAAGUUGGGAACAAAGGUAGGGGGCUGGGAGCUUCAGGGAGACGCGCUACGAGAACCCCAAAGCAGAAAGUGCCUUUGUCUCCUGGGCUGCCCAAACUUGCGGAAACCCGGGUGGUCCUACCUCACCCGCCGCCCACCUGGGCCUGAUCGGCCGCGCUGGGACCAUGCCCUCACCGCGCAUCCAGCUGAGAGGGAAACAGGUCGGACCUGGGCAGCGCCCGAGGGAAAGCCUGGGUAGCCAGCGGCCGGCAUGUAAAGGCCCCGCCUCCUCAAAGGAAAGGCUGCUGGACCCAUGGAACAUGCCAGAAGAGAGGAGCAGAAAGAUCUCAACAGAUGGAGACCACUAAAGAAAACCAAAACCGAGCCGGG